rnacentral:rRNA from 1 species
GGCGGGACACGUGGUAUCCUGUCUGAAUAUGGGGGGACCAUCCUCCAAGGCUAAAUACUCCUGACUGACCGAUAGUGAACCAGUACCGUGAGGGAAAGGCGAAAAGAACCCCGGCGAGGGGAGUGAAAAAGAACCUGAAACCGUGUACGUACAAGCAGUGGGAGCACCCUUUUGGGUGUGACUGCGUACCUUUUGUAUAAUGGGUCAGCGACUUAUAUUCUGUAGCAAGGUUAACCGAAUAGGGGAGCCGGAGGGAAACCGAGUCUUAAUUGGGCGUUAAGUUGCAGGGUAUAGACCCGAAACCCGGUGAUCUAGCCAUGGGCAGGUUGAAGGUUGGGUAACACUAACUGGAGGACCGAACCGACUAAUGUUGAAAAAUUAGCGGAUGACCUGUGGCUGGGGGUGAAAGGCCAAUCAAACCGGGAGAUAGCUGGUUCUCCCCGAAAGCUAUUUAGGUAGCGCCUCGUGAACUCAUCUCCGGGGGUAGAGCACUGUUUCGGCUAGGGGGCCAUCCCGGCUUACCAACCCGAUGCAAACUGCGAAUACCGGAGAAUGUUAUCACGGGAGACACACGGCGGGUGCUAACGUCCGUCGUGAAGAGGGAAACAACCCAGACCGCCAGCUAAGGUCCCAAA